UGUCUAUCUGUGAUACGCAGGGGUAUUG
rnacentral:piRNA from 1 species